rnacentral:rRNA from 1 species
AACGAACGCUGGCGGCAGGCUUAACACAUGCAAGUCGAGCGCCCCGCAAGGGGAGCGGCAGACGGGUGAGUAACGCGUGGGAAUCUACCCAUCUCUACGGAAUAACGCAUGGAAACGUGUGCUAAUACCGUAUACGUCCUUCGGGAGAAAGAUUUAUCGGAGAUGGACGAGCCCGCGUUGGAUUAGCUAGUUGGUGGGGUAAAGGCCUACCAAGGCGACGAUCCAUAGCUGGUCUGAGAGGAUGAUCAGCCACACUGGGACUGAGACACGGCCCAGACUCCUACGGGGGGCAGCAGUGGGGAAUAUUGGACAAUGGGCGCAAGCCUGAUCCAGCCAUGCCGCGUGAGUGAUGAAGGCCCUAGGGUUGUAAAGCUCUUACACCGGUGAAGAUAAUGACGGUAACCGGAGAAGAAGCCCCGGCUAACUUCGUGCCAGCCGCCGCGGUAAUAC